UUGGCUCAGAAGCAGCCACCAUUUAAAGAGUGCGUAAUAGCUCACUGGUCGAGAGACGCUGCGCCGAAAAUGUCCGGGGCUCAAGCACGGAACCGAAGCUAUGGCAUGAUAGCAAUAUCAUGGGUAGGGGAGCGUUCUUAUAAGGAAGAAGCAUGACCGGAAGGACAUGUGGACGAAUAAGAAGUGAGAAUGCCGGUAUGAGUAUCGAAAAGAAAGGUGAGAAUCCUUUCCACCGAAAGCCCGAGGGUUCCUGAGCAACGAUCGUCGACUCAGGGUAAGUCGGGACCUAAGCCGAGGCGAGAAGCGUAGGCGAUGGACAACAGGUUGAAAUUCCUGUACCGGAUCAAGUCGAUCGAGCGAAGGAGCGACGCAGGAGGGCACAUGAUCGCGCGGCUGGAAGAGCGCGUCCAAGUGCGUAUGUUGCAGCAGAGGAAAACCCCUGCAGCUAAAAGCAGAGACAUGAUGGGGAGUUAAAGGAAACUUUGACGAACUCAUGGAUCCCACACUGCCAAGAAAAACUUCUAGCGAGACAAGAUCCGCCCGUACCGUAAACCGACACAGGUAGGCGGGGAGAGAAUCCUAAGGUGCGCGGGAAAACCCUCGUUAAGGAACUCGGCAAAUUGCAUCCGUAACCUAGGGAGAAGGAUGGCCCCCGGUCAGUGAAGAGCAGAAACGCUCAGAGCUAAAAGGGGCGGCAGAAAAGAGGCCCAAGCAACUGUUUACCAAAAACACAGGUGCCUGCGAAAGCGAAAGCUGAAGUAUAGGUGCUGACGCCUGCCCGGUGCCGGAAGGUUAAGGAGAGAAGUUAGCGAAAGCGAAGCAUCGAACUGAAGCCCCGGUGAACGGCGGCCGUAACUAUAACGGUCCUAAGGUAGCGAAAUUCCUUGUCGGGUAAGUUCCGACCCGCAUGAAAGGCGUAAUGAUUUGGGCACUGUCUCAACGAGGGGCCCGGUGAAAUUGAAAUACCUGUGAAGAUGCAGGUUACCCGCGACUGGACAGAAAGACCCCAUGGAGCUUCACUGCAGCUUGAGAUUGAAUCCCGGUGACAGAUGCACAGGAUAGGUGGGAGGCGCCGAAGCAUUGCCCUAGGGCGGUGCGGAGCCGAUGUUGGGAUACCACCCUUCUGUUGCUGAGAUUCUAACGCGAGGAGUAACGACCCUGCGGACCCUCUCAGGCAGGCGGUUUGACUGGGGCGGUCGCCUCCGAAAGAGUAACGGAGGCGCCCAAAGGUUCCCUCAGGCCGGACAGAAACCGGCCGAAGAGUGCAAAGGCAGAAGGGAGCUUGACUGCGAGACCAACAAGUCGAGCAGGGACGAAAGUCGGGCUUAGUGAUCCGGUGGUACUGGGUGGAAAGGCCAUCGCUCAACGGAUAAAAGCUACCCUGGGGAUAACAGGCUAAUCUCUCCCA
rnacentral:rRNA from 1 species